rfam:Triticum urartu cultivar G1812 contig899834, whole genome shotgun sequence.
CUACUACUCCCUCCGUUCGGAAUUACUUGUCGCAGAAAUGGAUAUAUCUAAACAUAUUUUAGUUCUAGAUAUAUCCAUAUCCGAGACAACUAAUUCCGAACGGAGAGAGUGGCAU